rnacentral:rRNA from 1 species
UACGGAGGGUGCGAGCGUUAAUCGGAAUUACUGGGCGUAAAGGGUGCGUAGGUGGUUUAUUAAGUUAUCUGUGAAAUCCCUGGGCUCAACCUGGGCAGGUCAGAUAAGACUGGUAAACUCGAGUAUGGGAGAGGGUAGUGGAAUUUCCGGUGUAGCGGUGAAAUGCGUAGAGAUCGGAAGGAACACCAGUGGCGAAAGCGGCUUCCUGGUCCAGCACCGACGUUCAGGCACGAAAGCGUGGGGAGCAAACAGG